rnacentral:rRNA from 1 species
GACGAACGCUGGCGGCGUGCUUAACACAUGCAAGUCGAGCGGUAAGGCCCUUUCGGGGUACGACGAGCGGCGAACGGGUGAGUAACACGUGGGUGACCUGCCCUCAGCUCUGGGAUAAGCCUGGGAAACUGGGUCUAAUACUGGAUAUGACUCCACGGUGCAUGUCGUGGGGUGGAAAGCCUUGUGCGGCUGAGGAUGGGCCCGCGGCCUAUCAGCUUGUUGGUGGGGUGAUGGCCUACCAAGGCGACGACGGGUAGCCGGCCUGAGAGGGCGACCGGCCACACUGGGACUGAGACACGGCCCAGACUCCUACGGGAGGCAGCAGUGGGGAAUCUUGCGCAAUGGGCGAAAGCCUGACGCAGCGACGCCGCGUGAGGGAUGACGGCCUCGG